GGGAUAGAAUUCCAGGAGUAGCGGUGAAAUGCGUAGAUAUCUGGAGGAAUACCAAAGGCGAAGGCAGUCCCCUGGUCCGAUACUGACACUGAGGUACGAAAGCGUGGGGAGCAAACAGGAUUAGAUACCCUGGUAGUCCACGCCCUAAACGAUGUCGAUUAGCCAUUGGAAGGACCCCUUUUCCUUUCAGUGACGUAGCUAACGCGUUAAAUCGACCGCCUGGGAAGUACGACCGCAAGGUUAAAACUCAAAGGAAUUGACGGGGACCUGAACAAGCGGUGAAUGAUGUGGAUUAAUUCGAUGCUACGCGAAGAACCUUACCUACCUUUGACAUGGCCAAAGUUCUACCGAGUGGCGGAAGUACUCGUAAGAGGAUUGGCGCACAGGUGCUGCAUGGUUGUCGUCAGUUCGUGUCGUGAGAUGUUGGGUUCAGCCCCGCAACGAACGCAACCCUUAUCUUUAAUUGCUCCUAUUUUAACAGCCACUUUAAAGAACCUGCCAAUGAUAAGUUGGAGGAAGGUGGGGAUCACGUCAAGUCCGCAUGGCCUUUAUAGGUAGGGCUUCACACGUCAUACAAUGGUUAGAACAAAGAGCUGCAAAUUCGUAAGAAGGAGCCAAUCUCACAAACCUAACCUCAGUUCGAAUUGCGGUCUGCAACUCGAGCGCAUGAAGCCGGAAUCGCUAGUAAUCGUGGAUCAGAAUGCCACGGUGAAUACGUUCUUAGGUCUU
rnacentral:rRNA from 1 species